AGCAGUGUGAACAGCCUUCCAUAAACCCUUUGUACAGCUGCUGCACCUCAACAUCUAGACUUCCGGAACAAUCCCUCUCCUUCUGGGCCAAACACAACCUCUGAAUAGCUUUCUACCGUGUUCGUAUCCUUCCUGACGAAUCAGACAGUCAGAGGACUGAGAAGGAUGCAGAAUGGCAGCUCCAACUACAACAUUUGAAGAUGUGACGGACUCCUGUCAGCUAGCAAUAUUGCGAAGGUCGGGGAUACAGUCAACUUCUACAACACCUGGGCAGACAACUAUGAUCAGGCCGAGUAGUGUCUGCAAAAUGCCUGUCCUGUUUCCAUGGUGACGGGGAGACAGCUAUGGUUCUGGACUACCGGAAUGGUCGCAUCACUGCUGAAGAAAAUGGGCUUCAGGCAUUUUGUGGGCGUUGACUGGAGCAAAGGCAUGCUGGAACUGGCCAAUAAGACGGGCCUCUACCAGGACCUCAAGCAAUGCAUGCUGGGAGACUAACCACUUCAUAACCAAGCUGGUACCACAGAACUUUGAACUUUAUAUCAUUUAUAAUAUGGAUCAUGAUCAGCUAAAAUCUUUGAAUUGAAACAAAGUGGCACACAGAGAAGGAAGGGAGCUUCCCUGAUGUGCCCUUUCAUUAUAUUCCUCUCUCUUCAUCCUCUUGUCACAUGCUUUUCCCACUCAGAAGCGAGAGCGAUGGAAUUUUCCUUCCAAAUGAUCCUAUUCACUUUUCAAAGGGGCAUUCUGCAGUUUCUACAUUUUUUUGAAUUCAGUCAGAAGAGCAUGUCCUCUGGCAGUGAGGCCUCUCCUUACUGCUUUUUCAAACAUCUUUCAGUAACUUCUCUCAUCAUCCUCCUGUCAUUCUCUGGGCCACAGGCAACUUUAGUGUUGCUGUGGUCUCGCAGGAUCUUGACUCUCUCACUCUCUCGUUUCUCUCUCUUUCGUUACUCUCUCUCUCUUUCAUUUCUCUUUCAUUUCUCUCGUUCCUCUCUCUCGACCACUCCCGGCAGGUGUGUUUGAUGUGGAGGUGAUCGUCUGAGUUAUGGCUCAUGGUUAGGCAUGGUCAGCUGAUAUCUCAAAGUGCUGUACAGAAACCCAGCCUAAAACCCCAAACAGCAAGCAAUGCAGGUGUAGAAGCACG